UACAGAGGCCCGUAGCGUUGUUCGGAUUUACUGGGCGUAUGGGCGCGUAGGCGGCCUAGCGUGCCGGAUGUGAAAUCUCCGGGCUCAACCCGGAAAGUGCGUCCGAAACUGCCAGGCUCGAGUGCGGGAUGGGGAAGGGGAAUGCAGGGUGUAGCGGUGAAAUGCGUUGAUAUCCUGCAGAACACCGGAGGCGAAGGCGCCUUCCUGGAACGCAACUGACGCUGAGGCGCGAGAGCCGGGGGAGCAAACA
rnacentral:rRNA from 1 species